AUUGAACGCUGGCGGCAGGCCUAACACAUGCAAGUCGAACGAGUGGCGGACGGGUGAGUAAUGUCUGGGAACCUGCCUGAUGGAGGGGGAUAACUACUGGAACCGGUAGCUAAUACCGCAUACCAUCAGAUGUGCCCAGAUGGGGUUAGCUAGUUGGUGGUGUAACGGCUCACCAAGGCGACGAUCCCUAGCUGGUCUGAGAGGGUGACCAGCCACACUGGAAUGGAGACACGGUCCAGACCCCUACGGGAGGCAGCGGUGGGGAAUAUUGCACAAGGGGCGAAAGCCUGAUGCAGCCAUGCCGCGUGGAUGAAGAAGGCCUUCGGGUUGUAAAGUACUUUCAGCGGGGAGGCGUUACCCGCAGAAGAAGCACCGGCUAACUCCGUGCCAGCCGCCGCGGUAAUAC
rnacentral:rRNA from 1 species